GACGUAGGGGGCCAGCGUUGUUCGGAAUUACUGGGUGUAAAGGGUUCGUAGGCGGUGCGGCAAGUUGGGAGUGAAAUCUCUGGGCUUAACCCAGAGGCUGACUUCCAAAACUGCUGUGCUUGAGUGUGGGAGAGGCGCGUGGAAUUGCAGGUGUAGCGGUGAAAUGCGUAGAUAUCUGGAGGAACACCGGUGGCGAAGGCGGCAUCCUGGACCAACACUGACGCUGAUGAGCGAAAGCCAGGGGAGCAAACGGGG
rnacentral:rRNA from 1 species